GACGAACGCUGGCGGCGCGCUUAACACAUGCAAGUCGAGCGAGAACCAGGCCUUCGGGCCUGGGACAGCGGCGAACGGGUGAGUAACACGUGAGUAAUCCACCCUCGGUACCGGAAUAGCCCGGGGAAACCCGGGAUUAAUGCCGGAUGGCCCAUUUACCCUUCGGGGUUUAAUGGAAAAGAUAGCUUCGGCCUUCGACCGAGGACGAGCUCGCGGCGGAUUAGCUUGUUGGCGGGGUAACGG
rnacentral:rRNA from 1 species